CGCGUAGGCGGGUCAGCCAGUCCGGGGUGAAAUCCUUCGGCUUAACCGGAGAACUGCCUCGGAGACGACUGAUCUGGAGGGAGGUAGGGGUCGCUGGAACUUCCGGUGGAGCGGUGAAAUGCGUUGAUAUCGGAAGGAACGCCGGUGGCGAAAGCGAGCGACUGGACCUUUACUGACGCUGAGGCGCGAAAGCCAGGGGAGCAAACG
rnacentral:rRNA from 1 species